rnacentral:rRNA from 1 species
GUCGAGCGGCGGACGGGUGAGUAAUGCCUAGGAAAUUGCCCUGAUGUGGGGGAUAACCAUUGGAAACGAUGGCUAAUACCGCAUGAUGCCUACGGGCCAAAGAGGGGGACCUUCGGGCCUCUCGCGUCAGGAUAUGCCUAGGUGGGAUUAGCUAGUUGGUGAGGUAAGGGCUCACCAAGGCGACGAUCCCUAGCUGGUCUGAGAGGAUGAUCAGCCACACUGGAACUGAGACACGGUCCAGACUCCUACGGGAGGCAGCAGUGGGGAAUAUUGCACAAUGGGCGCAAGCCUGAUGCAGCCAUGCCGCGUGUGUGAAGAAGGCCUUCGGGUUGUAAAGCACUUUCAGUCGUGAGGAAGGUAGUGUAGUUAAUAGCUGCAUUAUUUGACGUUAGCGACAGAAGAAGCACCGGCUAACUCCGUGCCAGCAGCCGCGGUAAUACGGAGGGUGCGAGCGUUAAUCGGAAUUACUGGGCGUAAAGCGCAUGCAGGUGGUUUGUUAAGUCAGAUGUGAAAGCCCGGGGCUCAACCUCGGAAUUGCAUUUGAAACUGGCAGACUAGAGUACUGUAGAGGGGGGUAGAAUUUCAGGUGUAGCGGUGAAAUGCGUAGAGAUCUGAAGGAAUACCGGUGGCGAAGGCGGCCCCCUGGACAGAUACUGACACUCAGAUGCGAAAGCGUGGGGAGCAAACAGGAUUAGAUACCCUGGUAGUCCACGCCGUAAACGAUGUCUACUUGGAGGUUGUGGCCUUGAGCCGUGGCUUUCGGAGCUAACGCGUUAAGUAGACCGCCUGGGGAGUACGGUCGCAAGAUUAAAACUCAAAUGAAUUGACGGGGGCCCGCACAAGCGGUGGAGCAUGUGGUUUAAUUCGAUGCAACGCGAAGAACCUUACCUACUCUUGACAUCCAGAGAACUUUCCAGAGAUGGAUUGGUGCCUUCGGGAACUCUGAGACAGGUGCUGCAUGGCUGUCGUCAGCUCGUGUUGUGAAAUGUUGGGUUAAGUCCCGCAACGAGCGCAACCCUUAUCCUUGUUUGCCAGCGAGUAAUGUCGGGAACUCCAGGGAGACUGCCGGUGAUAAACCGGAGGAAGGUGGGGACGACGUCAAGUCAUCAUGGCCCUUACGAGUAGGGCUACACACGUGCUACAAUGGCGCAUACAGAGGGCUGCCAACUUGCGAAAGUGAGCGAAUCCCAAAAAGUGCGUCGUAGUCCGGAUUGGAGUCUGCAACUCGACUCCAUGAAGUCGGAAUCGCUAGUAAUCGUGGAUCAGAAUGCCACGGUGAAUACGUUCCCGGGCCUUGUACACACCGCCCGUCACACCAUGGGAGUGGGCUGCAAAAGAAGUAGGUAGUUUAACCUU